rnacentral:ncRNA from 1 species
GACCUUGCCUCUUGGCAAAACACAAAGCAGAGCCUCAUUUGGUUUGGUAGUCCCGAUAUAUCGGGAUCGAAGAACCAGAGGCGACAUAAGCAAAAAG